AGAGGUUUCAACAAUUACAGUGGUGGAAGUGGUUGUUGGGCCGGUGGUGACUUCUUUAGGUGGCUUUGUGGAUGUAGAUGGAAUUGUCUCAGUUGUGGUUUCUUCAACUGUUGUAGUUCCACCUGUGGUAGGUGUAGUUACCUCUGUAGUUGUAAUGGGUGCCUUUGUAAUUGUGGUUGAUGUUGCUGGAUUGGAAGUUAUGACAACUGGCCCUGUGGUUUCUUCAGCUGUUGCUGUGGGCUGUGAUGUUGAGGUUUCAACAAUUACAGUGGUGGAAGUGGUUGUUGGGCCGGACGUGACUUCUUUAGGUGGCUUUGUGGAUGUAGAUGGAAUUGUCUCAGUUGUGGUUUCUUCAACUGUUGUAGUUCCACCUGUGGUAGGUGUCGUUGUUGUUGGUGCAAUUGUAGUUGUUGUUAAAGUAGUGGGAUUGGAUGUUAUGACUAUUGGCCCUGAUGUUUCUUCACCUGUUGCUGUGGGCUGUGAUGUUGAUGUUGAGGUUUCAACAAUUACAGUGGUGGAAGUGGUUGUUGGGCCGGUGGGGACUUCUUUAGGUGGCUUUGUGGAUGUAGAUGGAAUUGUCUCAGUUGUGGUUUCUUCAACUGUUGUAGUUCCACCUGUGGUAGGUGUCGUUACCUCUGUAGUUGUAAUGGGUGCCUUUGUAAUUGUGGUUAAUGUUGUGGGAUUGGAAGUUAUGACAACUGGCCCUGUUGUUUCUUCACCUGUUGCUGUGGGCUGUGAUGUUGAUGUAGAGGUUUCAACAAUUACAGUGGUGGAAGUGGUUGUUGGGCCGCUGGUGACUUCUUUCGGUGGCUUUGUGGAUGUAGAUGGAAUUGUCUCAGUUGUGGUUUCUUCAACUUUUGUAGUUCCACCUGUGGUUGGUGUCGU